rnacentral:rRNA from 1 species
GACGAACGCUGGCGGCGUGCUUAACACAUGCAAGUCGAACGGAAAGGCCCUGCUUUUGUGGGGUGCUCGAGUGGCGAACGGGUGAGUAACACGUGAGUAACCUGCCCUUGACUUUGGGAUAACUUCAGGAAACUGGGGCUAAUACCGGAUAGGAGCUCCUGCUGCAUGGUGGGGGUUGGAAAGUUUCGGCGGUUGGGGAUGGACUCGCGGCUUAUCAGCUUGUUGGUGGGGUAGUGGCUUACCAAGGCUUUGACGGGUAGCCGGCCUGAGAGGGUGACCGGACACAUUGGGACUGAGAUACGGCCCAGACUCCUACGGGAGGCAGCAGUGGGGAAGAUUGCACAAUGGGCGGAAGCCUGAUGCAGCAACGCCGCGUGCGGGAUGACGGCCUUCGGGUUGUAAACCGCUUUCGCCUGUGACGAAGUGUGAGUGACGGUAAUGGGUAAAGAAGCACCGGCUAACUACGUG